CGAACGCUGGCGGCGUGCUUAACACAUGCAAGUCGAACGGGUCUGCCCUGUUUUUUGCGGGGUGGGUCAGUGGCGAACGGGUGAGUAACACGUGAGUAACCUGCCCCUCACUUCUGGAUAACCGCUUGAAAGGGUGGCUAAUACGGGGUGUUCUGGCUGUGCCGCAUGGUGUGGCUGGGAAAGAUUCACUUUUGUGGUGUUUUGGUGGGGGAUGGGCUCGCGGCCUAUCAGCUUGUUGGUGGGGUGAUGGCCUGCCAAGGCUUUGACGGGUAGCCGGCCUGAGAGGGUGGGCGGUCACACUGGGACUGAGAUACGGCCCAGACUCCUGCGGGAGGCAGCAGUGGGGGGUAUUGCACAAUGGGCGGAAGCCUGAUGCAGCGACGUCGCGUGAGGGAUGGAGGCCUUCGGGUUGUGAACCUCUUUCGCCGGUGAAGAAGGUCCUGCUCUUUGUGGGGGGGCUGACGGUAGCCGGGUUAUGAAGCGCCGGCUAACUACGUG
rnacentral:rRNA from 1 species